rfam:Gossypium raimondii Chr01_contig_988, whole genome shotgun sequence.
GAACCAUGCAUCGGGCAUUUUCUAAUUAAAUCCUUAAAAUGCUUCCAUGCUUUGUAUUAUGUCUCAUCUUCAGAUUUCCUGAACGAUGUAAUGUCAUUCCUCAGCUU